AAAGUCGUAACAAGGUCUCCGUAGGUGAACCUGCGGAGGGAUCAUUAACGAACGGCCUCUGUGCCUUCAAACCCCUCAAAACAUGUGGACAUUUGAAAACGUGCUUCGGCGCUCUGGCGCCGCUUUUAUGCUGCAUCCUCAGUCUCUUCUGUCUGAAAUUAUAAAAGUUAGAAAAAUCAAAACUUUCAACAACGGAUCUCUUGGCUCUC
rnacentral:misc_RNA from 1 species